rnacentral:rRNA from 1 species
UACGAAGGGGGCUAGCGUUGUUCGGAAUCACUGGGCGUAAAGCGCAUGCAGGCGGAUCGAUAAGUCGGGGGUGAAAGCCCGAGGCUCAACCUCGGAACUGCCUUCGAUACUGUCGAUCUUGAGUCCGGGAGAGGUGAGUGGAACUCCGAGUGUAGAGGUGAAAUUCGUAGAUAUUCGAAAGAACACCAGUGGCGAAGGCGGCUCACUGGCCCGGUACUGACGCUGAGAUGCGAAAGCGUGGGGAGCAAACAGG